GGAUUCAGGUGAUCGAGGUUUUAUGCGCACACACAAAACAAGUGAUACAUGUUUUUGUCUCCAAUUAAGAUGAAGGGAAUUUUCUUCUUUGCCCACAGUGUUUCACACAAGAUCUCCCAGCUGGACGUUCAAAAUAGCUUUUUAUGUUUUAGGGCCUCUUUUAUUCGACCCUAGGAGGCCGAGGGAAGAAAAGGAUAAUUUAAAUGAAAUUUAGUUUCUAUAAAGAAAACGAUUAAAAACAAGGAAAUGAGCUUUGACUAUUAGGCACCUGGAUGAAGAGCCCUGAGUUCAGAUUGUCAGUCUCCUGUAACCUGAAGAAGCCCUUCAGUUGCACUAGGAACAUUCAGUUGAA